CCUAUGGUCUUAGAGUUGGUGGGCGGGGCUCUGUCAUGCGUAUCCCAUGGUCUUAGAGUUGGUGGGCGUGGCUCCGUGAGUUGGCGGGCGUGGCUCUGUCGUGCAUAUCCCAUGGUCUUAGAGUUGGUGGGCGGGGCUCUGUCAUGUGUAUCCCAUGGUCUUAGAGUUGGUGGGCGGGGCUCUUUUAGUUGGUGGGCGGGGCUCUGUCAUGUGUAUCCCAUGGUCUUAGAGUUGGUGGGCGGGGCUCUGUUAGUUGGUGGGCGGGGCUCUGUCGUGCGUAUCCCAUGGUCUUAGAGUUGGUGGGCGGGGCUCUGUCAGUUGGUGGGCGGGGCUCUGUCGUGCGUAUCCCAUGGUCUUAGAGUUGGUGGGCGGGGCUCUGUCGUGCAUAUCCUAUGGUCUUAGAGUUGGU